UUCACCUUAAUCUUUUUCAGACUUCUUUUUACCUAUUUGCGAGUACUAUUUUCUUCCUAUUUUUUGCACUUAAAUUUUUUAUGACAUGAUACAAAUUUGUAAACUAUUUUUUGUCUAUUUUCUAAACUUGCAUAUUUUCAUUGUUUAUGACUGGCAUCCUAUUCAAAAAGCCCGCUUCUCCUGCCAUUAUCUCUGUUGUUCAUUUUGCGACUUAUUGGUUGUUUUUAGCUGUGGGGUCACAUAUUGAAUAGUGAGCUCAAAGAUGACCAUAAAUAAACAAUGUGUAAAAAGAAAAUGUACGAAAUUUCAAUUUUGUUCCUUUAUUAAUAUUCUUGAUUUUAUUUACAAACUAUAGUAGUGACUAGUGCACUCAAAGAUAACCAUACAUAAACCAUGUGUAAAAAGAAAAUGUACACAUAGAAAUUUCAACCAAAAAAAAUCUCCUUUAUUAAUAGAAAAAAAAGCAUUCGAUCGAGAUAUUCCCGUUCUAUGUGUGCGCAAAGUUUCAACGUAGAGGACAGUACGCAAGUACGUAAUUUGAAAAUUACCCGUUAUUUUUUUUCCCCACUGGCACUGCUGUGCGCAUCGGACUUUUGCUGAUUUUCGUUCAUCAAACGUCUCCAAAUCACACCAAAAUGUCUUCCAGCAAUUAUUCUAGCGAUGAAAUUUCAUCAAGAGAUAGUGACUCCUCAUACUCCGAUGCCUCCUUAUCCCAUUUUAGUGAUUCUUCCCAAGAAAAUGAGCCCGACAAAUGUUCAAAAUAUUACUAGUCCCACUCGUAGAGAAACGAGUUUGUUGUCGAAUUACGGACCAUCGACGAGCGGAACUGGCCCCAGAAAACAGCUGAAAAGGUACGUUUAUUUCUGAAACUUAAUUAUAUUAUGAUAUAUAUAUUUUUAUUGUGUCUGUUGUUGAAUAUAAUGCUACUUCAUAGACAUAAUAGGCCUAUAGAAUGUUAUUUUACGUAUCAAUAUUCCCAUGUACUAGUGUUGAGGUUGUAGACUACACAACUUCUUAGUGAAGUGUAGUUAGUGAAUCUCCAAGUGCAGUGUAGUGUCUGUUAGUGAAUGAGUGAAUGUAAACAAACGUGAUUACAAUAAAUCCACGUAAAAAAUUUCAGAUUUUGUACCAUUACUACGUCUGUCAAUUAUUUUGCCUUGCAUGAUAUAAUGUUUUGAUGUGGUUUUAGGCUAAAUUGUAUCUCAAAUUAUUUUUCUAGGAAUCAGAAAACACAACCUGCUAAUAAAGCACCACGCAAGAAGAAGAGCAAGUCUUCCAAGUCCGAGAGUGUGUCUGCGAGAUCAAUUGAAACUAAUCAAGCUACAAUGUACAUGUAACGUACAAUCACCAUUCGAUGCCUGUGAACAGCAUGACCAACAUCUGUAUCCUUUACAUUAGUAUUUGUUUCCAUUUUAUUAUGUAAUUCUUAUGUCUAAUCAUUGAGAUUCAUAGGCAAGUACAACAUGUACGUGUACACAAUGAGUGCCUGCAUAUUGUGAAGAUAAAGGACCAUAAGACCAUUACUUAUGAUACAUGGUAAUGAUGGUAUACUUUGUAAAACUAUUUGAAAAUAGUAGCAUGUAAGUCUGUCAUUUUCUUGUUUAUAUAUAUCUCAAUGACAUGACAUGUCAUUGAUUUUGUAGUAAGUGUUUCUAGAUUAUGAUGAUUGUAUUAAGAUUUUGACAGUUCAAUUGAGAUUGAGAAAAUUAUGUAACAUGUCAACUGUACAAUAGAGCAUGCAUGCAUUGUUGAAAAAUCUGUUUUAUGAUUUAUUUUAUUUUGUUAUCUUUGUAAAUAACGAGA